rnacentral:lncRNA from 1 species
CUUGAAAAAGACUACGGAGACACGCGAAACUGCGAUACCAUUCAACUCUCACAGACACGUGGAUUACACACCAAGGCUUGUACAAAGCAAUUCUUCUCGCUGCGCUCUUCUUCAAAGCACUUCACUUUGUGGACUGCGCAGGAACGCCAGCCUCAGGCCGUCGAACUCGCCUCGGCCGCGACCCUAGUUUUUGCUCGUCUCUCGCGGCUCUUGUGGUUUCUUUCGUUUUGCCAGUUGCUGACUCACCUGCCGGUUUGUGUGUGGUGUCCGAAGUGGUUUAAAGCUAGAUCCGAAGCACCCGUCUCCGCAGCGAAUUCCUGGGUUCCUUGAACACCGUCAGCCGCGCGUGGCUGUUUGCAGCGUUCGUUAGUCCCCCUGACGAGACGCGGGAUUGGUACAGCCUCGGUGGACGGGAACAGAGAACUUUGGCGUUUUUCUCAAAACAGAUGCUGCGUGUCUGCCUGAGUUAGUUAGAGGGAGUCACAUCUGCACAGCAGGAACAACGCGACUUGCAGAUCCUCGAAAUUUGUGGGCAAAUCUGAACAAAUACAGAGCAUUAAACGGCAUAUCUUUUCGACUGAAUUUAGAUUCGUCGAUCAUUUCAUCUGAAACCCAAUAUUUGUACAGAUCGCACGCAGAAAAAACGAUUUCGACCGAACGCCGCACAAGAAAUCUCACCUGUGCAUGGGGUUUCUAUUCUAGUCUCAUAAAGAAGCAAUUUUCACGAGGCACAAAGGUGGACACUUGUUUUUUUCCGUUUAUUUUAUUCCAGACAAGACGUUCAUGGAGAAAGCAUGAAGCGACGUUUCGUCCCAAGAGAGAGCCGGGUAGGUAGGUGCAAAUCACAUCGCUCUUGCGAUCACCCCUCGGAAGCAAUAAACGACAGCUUCAACUGUUAUUAUUGCUCCAGACGUUUUUGCUCAGAUCUCCCCCCUAUCCAGUACAAAAUGUCUCCCAGGUAGACAAUCAAACGCAUACGUUUCUUUUACCCAAAAUAAUUCAACGAAUGCCAGAAAUGGUGCUUGCAAUACACGCAGCGGCCUGGUCAACAACGACACACAGUCGCACGUCGUUGCUCUUUCGUUUCACAUGCUCAAAGCGUGAUCGGGGUGCUCAAAUGCCAGGAACGGCUUGCCUUCUUCUGAUGCCGUACAGCAGGCUCGCAAAAAAAGAUACCUGCGAAUGUAUCAAGUCCUCGUCAGUGAUAGGAACAAGAGUCAUCGUAAUGUUCGUCUUCUCCUGAGAGAUGUGGUUUACUUCUGAAAAGCAUUUACCUGUCUCCGCCGUGCGAGUCGAACGCUUGCUGAUCGGCUGAUCUGUGUCGAUUGCUGUAGGAUGGUCUGAGUUUUGAGCAAGUCGCUGCUUUUUGAUGCAGUGAGUGACGGGGCUCGCGCGCGCGAAGGCACCCAGAGAUGGCAACAGUGAACCUUGUGUUCCGCUCUCGCACACGUGUUCAGUCUGCAAAAAGCCGUCGUCUUGUUUGAGCAAAAAGAGAUCCGUUCCUCCAACGGAACACGAGCAGAAGCAACUAGUGACAUGCACCACAAAGUAGGCCAGAAUCACAUCGUUCGCGUUCAAUAAGAAGCCAGCUAAAAUGUACAAUGUGUAUAAUUUGCAACGUCGAUAGUGACUAUGCUCGACAAGAGGUCUCUCAAAAGCUGAAAGCAACUGUUCUGUUUGCAGCACCUGGCAAUGUAUUCGAGUUUGAGCAGGAUCCCCAGAGCCGGUCGAAGUUGGC